rnacentral:ncRNA from 1 species
CUUAAUGAGAGUUUGAUCCUGGCUCAGGAUGAACGCUGGCGGCGUGGAUAAGGCAUGCAAGUCAAACGGAUUUUAUUUAUUUUAAGAUGAGAUUAUAUCAAGUCAAGAGAUUUAUAAGAUUAGUGGCAGACGGGGUAGUAACACGUAGGAACUCACCCCAGAGACGGGCAUAAUUCGCCGAAAGGCGAACUAAUUCCCGAUAGUGUCGCCUUUACGGCGACUAAAUCAAUCAGCUUGGCUCUGGGAGAGGCCUGCGGGCUAUCAGCUAGUUGGCGGGGUAAUGGCCCACCAAGGCGACGACGGCUAGGGGGAGUGAGAGCUUGGCCCCCACCAAUGGAACUGCGACACGGUCCAUACACCUACGGGUGGCAGCAGCCGAGAAUAUUCGACAAUGGGCGAAAGCCUGAUCGAGCGACGCCGCGUGCAGGAGGAAGUCCUUCGGGAC